CGAAAAUAAACACUGCAUAAGGGGAUCUUACUUUCUUAAUUCUAUUUUGCUUUUGAUUUUUCUUUUUCCCCCAUUCCAGAAAGCAAAAGGUGAUCUUUCUUUCUUAAUUUUAAUUUAUAGCAAGAAAUGCGAUGCACGGCAACAACAUAUGUUCAGACCAAGUGAUUGUAGAAAUAAUUGAAAUGGGUUUUGAGUAUUCAAAUAUGGUCGAAGCCAUUAAAGGAGUGGGUCUCUCUGUUCCUAGUGUUGUGGAGCACAUCCUCAACACCCCCAAAUUGCAAGAACACAACAAGAACCCUCUCAGAAGACAACCUUUGCGCACGUGUCGUCUAGUUCGGCAGGCCAAGAGCCAUUUCAAGUUCAAGAUUUGGAUGUUGCAUCAGAUUGGGAGCGGAAAGUUAGCAACCUGAUGGAAAAGCAUUUUGGGUUUUCAUCCUUGAAGAGUUUUCAGAAGGAAGCCCUCUCUUCCUGGCUUGGUCAUAAAGACUUGUCCUCGCUGCAACAGGAUCUAGUUUUGUUCUUUAAUUAUUCAAUAUUUGCGCCUACGACAUGUUUGGAUAAUUUUUUCUUGAAUCAUUUUUAAAAUAAAAAAUAGAAAAUAAAAAUGAAAAUAAAUUUCCCUGUAAGCUAAAACUAACUGAUGCAUGAAUUUAAAUAAGAUUUUGAAAAAGUUACGAAAGAACUAUAAUAUGACUUAUAAAUAAGUUAAUUUUAGUUUAUAAAAAUUUUAUUUCAUUUUUACUUCUUAACUUGCUACACUAAAAGUAAAGAUAUCGUUACUUACUAGGUUCUUGAGUUUUUGUGCAUUUAUUUAUAAUUAUGUUUUUGGCACAGACAAGUCUCUAUGCUUUCGGAUUCCUGCAUUGUUGUCGGGGAAAGUGGUGGUUGUGAUUUCACCCUUGAUAAGCCUCAUGCACGACCAGUGUUUAAAGCUAACAAAAGAUGGAAUCAGUGCGUGCUUUCUUUGUUCGGGGCAACCUGAUGAUACUGUUGAACAGAAAGCAAUGAGAGGCUUGUAUAAUAUAGUUUAUGUCUGCCCAGAGUCAGUGUUGAGAUUGAUUCAACCACGCAAAAGCUUUCAGAAAGUUGCGGAAUUGCUUUAUUUACAAUUGACGAGACUGUGUGCUGCGGGAGAAUUUCAGUGCUAGUAAGCUAAAAUCCAUGGAAUUUGAUAUACCUCUGAUGGCCUUGACAGCUACGGCUACAAAAGUAGUUCAUUAAGACAUUUUAAAAUCACUAUGCAUGUCAAAAGAAACGAAUGUUGUUCUUACAUCGUUUUUUCGAUCUAAUUUACGCUUCAUGGUGAAGGAUAAUCGAACAUCAAAGGCUUCUUAUGCAAAAGACUUUGGUGAAUUGAUUGAAGUAUAUAUGGUAGAAAGCAAAAUAUUGAUGGAAAUGAAAGGCUUUCAUGUCAAAUGAUUCUGAUUAUGUUUCUCAUGGCUCCGAUGCUUGUAGUAGCUCUGAUAGAGACAGUGUUUCUUUUGAUGAUGUGGAUGACAACCAAGAUGAUUAUGCUUACAAGAUGAUUUUUUAAUGUUACCCAUGGUGAAAAGCCUCCUCACAUGGGAUUGGAAUUACCUGAGGCAAUUGAUCCACCUAAGAAACCAGAAGGAAGACUUAAAUUUCUUAAAGAGCCUUUGGAACACGGACCAGCAAUCAUAUAUGUAUCCACCAGAAAAGAAACUUUGAGAAUUGCAAAGUUUCUAUGCAAGUUUGGUGUGAAGGCUGCUACUUAUAAUGCAGGGGUUUUAAACUAAUUUAUGAGCACAAUCUCAUUUUCAUGAAAGUACUUUAGAGGUAUGUUUCCAGAGCUUGAAGUAAAUAUUGUAGAUGUUUCAUGGGAGGGGGGUUUUAAAGAGGCGCAAAAGUGUUAUAUUUGAAUUGAGCUGGCCAGUUAUCAGUUAUGGUAUGGUAUCAUUGUAUCUUUUGAUAUUUGUGGUGUGCUAUUCACAUAACUACUACAUAAAUGAAUGGAACUUAUUAUUUGAUUUAGAUGGGCUUUCUGAUUUUCAGGUUUUUGCAUACCAAAUCUCUUCAUCCCCCUUCCCGAAUGUCAUCUGACUUUGAUGGCUUUGGCUGUUUGAAGCCCUGCCAUGCUUAUUAUACAUCUAAGUUUUGUGUUUCUUUGUAAUUGAUUGUUUUUUACUGCAUAAGUCUUGACAUAAUCAAGCGCCCAAAAAAAUGAAGAACUGAAUUUUGUGAAAGUUUGGUGAUUUUGAGACACAUAUCUGAAUUGUUUUUACCCUUGUUUAUUCCUAUGUUGUUUGUGUUUACUGCAUAAUUUCAAUCAUUUCCUUCAUUCUGGAACCAUAAAAAGUUUUUCCAAAUAACAUUUUUGUUGUAUGCAUGUGUAUUAUCAAUCAGGUUAUUAUUGCUUUGAUAGCUUUUGGAAUGGGUAUUGACAAAGGAAAAAUGUCAGAAGAAUCAUCGACUAUGGUUGGUCACAAGUUUGUUUUUAAAGUACAUUUCUCCUGGCAUUAUUAAUUAUAGAGUUGAAGAAAUCUCAAAUAGUUGGAUAUGUAUUUUUUAAUGAGUUUGGAAGACUACUGCCCAAAAGCUGGACGGGUCGGUCAACAUGGGAAAUUUGCAGAUUGCACACUAUUUACAUUUGGCCAACAAUCAGAUCUGUAUGCAAACAUAGGAAGCAAGCCGUCACGUUUGCCUAGUUGGAAAAUUGAAGAGCCAGAUGAAGCAAGCCUAUAUCAUAUAUAUAAUGAAUACUUCAUGUUGUCGAGCAAAGAUGUUGAAUACUUUGGAGAGGAUUUCAGUCAUUGGAGAUGUCUCUACUUUCCUUAUGAGCCCCGUUUCUUGCUGCUGUCACUUGUGCAUUAAUGGUCCACCACAAAGACUAUCUAAAAGAAGAUGUAGUUGAUCUAAUGAGCAGGUACAAGCCAAAGCUUGAGACAGCAAGUUUGUUGGAAAUAAGCCUUCGUGGUCCUGACUUGCAUUAUGGGAGGUGGAACACUCUUGAUGUUUGUGGUCGAGCAAUGUUAGAGAGUUUCCAUUGAGAUCUUUGAAGAGAACUGUGAGUGGGAAGAUAAAAACAUUACACCAUUGCAGAUACGGAUAUCUAUUAGGUAAUCUUUCCUUUAAUUUUAAGCAUUUUGAUU